rnacentral:rRNA from 1 species
UACGUAGGGGGCGAGCGUUGUCCGGAUUUAUUGGGCGUAAAGAGCUCGUAGGCGGUUCGGCAAGUCGACGGUGAAAUCUCCACGCUCAACGUGGAGGGGUCCGUCGAUACUGCUGUGACUCGAGUCCGGUAGGGGAGUGUGGAAUUCCCGGUGUAGCGGUGAAAUGCGCAGAGAUCGGGAGGAACACCCGUAGCGAAGGCGGCACUCUGGGCCGGUACUGACGCUGAGGAGCGAAAGCGUGGGGAGCGAACAGG